UAGAUAACCCACUGUAUUCUGAACACUGC
rnacentral:piRNA from 1 species